rnacentral:misc_RNA from 1 species
AAAUUCAGUUCAGUAUAUAAACUGAGAGGCCUUUCCAGAAUAUUUCAUGUUCUCUACAAAACUCCCUACUACAGCCAUACGCUUUGUGUUAAUCAAUAUGAAUAGCAGUGACCUAAACACGUGGCAUUGGUCAGUGAUUCAAACUCUAAUACCCACAAUUGUAUUCAUAAGUAUUUGUUGUAUGACAGGUGCCAUUGGAAAUACAACGGUGCUUAUAGUUUAUAAGACGAAGAAAAUUUCAGGAAAAGGGCGCUUUUUCAUUCCGAUCCUUGCCUUUGUGGAUCUUCUUGCCAGUUUGGUGUGUUCCUUUGGUGUCCUCCUUUACCUAUGCCGAAAUGUUCUUUUCUUUUCAGACGUUCUGUGCAAAAUUCACUUUCACAUCAUUUGUUGGAUCUUUAAUGCCUCAGUUUUCUUGGUGUUUGCAAUCGCUUAUGAUAGGUAUCGGAUAAUUUGUCAAAUAAAUAGACAACCACUAUCAGAGAGACAGAAAUGGACUAUUGUGUGGACUAUACUUAUUCUCAGCGGAAUUUUAAACAUUCCAGUUUUUGUUACAAGUGGGACUGUUUUUGUUCCUUUGCCUUCUAAAUACAACAAUUCAAUAAAGGGGUCCAUCUGUACCAUUUCAAAACAUCUAGAUCGGACAUUUGAAGUGAUCCACUCGUUUGUUGUAAUCAUUGGAAUCACAGAAACUCUGAAAAUGAUAAUCUAGAAAGAGACAUCCCCAAUCAAAUGGAAUCUCGCCCAGGAGAUGAAUCAAUCGAGCAACUUGAAUCCAUUGAUAUAUCUGUGAGUAGAUUGCAAGUAAACAAGGAUAAAACGUGUUAUCCAAAGUAUUUACUACAAACUGUAAGGACACACCACUCACUCUAUAUCCAUGUCAUGUUCUUCGUGAUGUUUGUCAUCAUGCUUCUUUCAUUUGUUCCCUCCUUGACAAUUGUUCUUAUGAUAUACAACGACCACACACAAAACUUUUCGUUGUUCGAUGUUGAGGAACAUACUAUGGAUAUUAAUCUUUUCCUUUCGCUCAAAGUGUCGUAUCUAAUCAGCAGUGCAGCAAAUCCUUAUAUAUACAGUCUCUUUGACAGAGAGUUUCGUGCUAUCGUGAUCGGAUGUAUAAAACGUUAGGUAUGAACUCAAACUUCAGAAAAAAGAGAAAAAUAAUUAAACUGUUAUUUGUAUAAUAAAUGACAUAAACUAUACAUAUAUUGUCACUUUAUGAUAUCAUGUCAUUUGUAUCAACCAUGUACAAUUUAAUUACUUUUUGACAUUAAUUUGUUGUUCGUGAAUAAUGUAUGCUUGGUUACAAAAUAGUGAUAAAAUAAAGAUAUGCCGGUAGGUAAUUU